rnacentral:lncRNA from 1 species
ACACUCUGCAUAUAUAUCUACCAGUGCAUUCCCCAAGAACAAGCCCAAGACCAUCCCUCUGACCGAUAAUCAAUCAAUCCACAUCCUAGAUCGAGUGCAUCAAAAAAAGAAAAACGAGAAAGAACAGAGACUAGAAUAGAGGAGAACCAGGAAAAGCAAGCAAACAAUAUAUGAAUCAAGAGAAACCACAUCUAAUGCUCUUUCAAUGGGCUUGGACUGGUGAGAAGAGUACUAGCAAAUUCAAACGAGAAAAUGGCAACCAAUAUCUUCACAUAAAGCAAAAUGAAACAGAGCUUCACUGGGUUCAAACAAAUACUAAAAAGAACAGUGAAUGAAACAAUCAAUGAGCAUAUGAACAAGCCAGAAAUCGACAAAACUCAUGUAAAGCUCCUGUUAUCCAUAACCAAACAAACAAACGAAACCCCAAACAACAAGAGGAGAAAAUGAAAUAAUAGUGAUAAUGAAGAUGAACAAGAGAUACACAGUAAACUUACCUGAGAGCUCCG